rnacentral:rRNA from 1 species
CAACAGGGAUUGCCCCAGUAAUGGCGAAUGAAGCGGCAAGAGCCCAAAUUUGAAAUCGGGCAACCGAGUUGUAAUUUGGAGACGGGACACUAGAGAGGAGGAAGGCGAUUAAGUGCCUUGGAACAGGCUGCCGUAGAGGGUGAGAGCCCCGUGAAUCGCUGGAGACCGAUCAAUUAGUGCCCGCCGAAGAGUCGAGUUGUUUGGGAAUGCAGCUCUAAGUGGGUGGUAUAUUCCAUCUAAGGCUAAAUAUUAGCGAGAGACCGAUAGCAAACAAGUACAGUGAUGGAAAGAUGAAAAGAACUUUGGAAAGAGAGUGAAAUAGUACGCGAAAUUGUUGAAAGGGAAGGGUAUUUGAUCCGACAUGGUGUUUAGCAGCGGCCCGUUCCUCGUGGAUGGGUGCACCUGGUUUACACUGGGCCAGCAUCGGUUCUGGGAGCCAUAUACGGGGUUCGUGAAUGUGGCCCUUCGAUUCUGUCGGAGGGUGUUAUAGCGCGGACAUCUUGUGGCUAGCCGGGACCGGGGACUGC